rnacentral:misc_RNA from 1 species
AAGUCGUAACAAGGUUUCCGUAGGUGAACCUGCGGAAGGAUCAUUAAAGAUGUUUAAUAUAAAUAUCGUCAGUGUGCAACCCUCCUCCUGUUGCUGGGAUGAUGUGAGUACAUGUGUUGUUUAGGCAUGUGUAUGUGAUGAGUAUGUGUGUGAGUGUGAUAGUUUCUGUGAAGAUGGAAACUGGGCCAUGCAUGUAUUUAGAGUGUAUACGUGGACAACUAGACUACAUCUACGAGCAUCGUCUAAUGCCCAGCAACAACCCCAUUCAUCAUUUAUACAUGACCGCGCCUACUCUUGUCGAUUCUCAAUGGAUUGAUAUAUGGGGAUGGCUCAAUACAAUGUACAACUUUUAGCAACGGAUCUCUUGGUUCUC